AGCUUUGCUAGCUGAACUGCAUAGUGACCUACACCACCUGAGGCAGCAGUUAUCAGAAUGUUUGCGUGCUUGCCACUCCCAUCAAGCUUGAUCCCAGCAGGCUGAGUGAGAGCCUCAUGAGCUGUAAGACCUGCAACUGGUAAGCCUGCCGCUUCAGCUGCAGAAAUUUCAGGCGGCCUUGCAACUGUCAAGCUCUCCUUAACUACUGCAAACUCUGCUAGUCCACCUCCACUAGCAUGGGUAAGAUAAGCAACAACUUUAUCACCAGUUUUGAAAUUUUUGACUCCUGCUCCAACCUCUAAAACCUCUCCUGCUACAUCAGUAGCUGGAAUGUGAGGGAAUCUGCGAGGCAAAAAAGGCCGAGACACACCCUUUUGAAUUUUCCAAUCAAAUGGAUUUACACUAAUCGCUUCUAACUUCAGCAAUACCUCAUCUUUCUUUGGAGCAGGGACUGGAACUUCCACAUGCUUUAGGCCAGCAGCUCCACUAUCAUAUUGAACGGCAUGCAUUAGCUUCCCAGCCAUGUCCAGAAGAAGUAAAGUCGUUUAAAGAAAGAGUAGGA
rnacentral:misc_RNA from 1 species